AGCACCUCGUUCGUCGAGUCAACUUCCUACACAAACAUCUCAACACGAUACAGCAACUUCUUCUUUGAGUCAUCUUCCAACGAGCACAACUUCACAUGGUAAAGCAACUUCAUCUUUGAGUCAUCUUCCAAC